CUGCUGCCUUCCGUAGGAGUUUGGGCCGUGUCUCAGUCCCAAUGUGGCCGUUCACCCUCUCAGGCCGGCUACUGAUCGUUGCCUUGGUAGGCCAUUACCCCACCAACUAGCUAAUCAGACGCGGAACCAUCGUAUACCACCAGAGUUUUUCACACCGCUUCAUGCGAAGCUGUGCGCUUAUGCGGUAUUAGCACCUAUUUCUAAGUGUUACUCCCCCAGUAUACGGCUAGGUUUUCCACGUCGUUACUCACCCGUCCGCCAA
rnacentral:rRNA from 1 species